rnacentral:rRNA from 1 species
UGCUCCUACGGGAGGCCGCAGUGGGGAAUAUUGCACAAUGGGCGCAAGCCUGAUGCAGCGACGCCGCGUGAGGGAUGACGGCCUUCGGGUUGUAAACCUCUUUCAGUAGGGACGAAGCGCAAGUGACGGUACCUACAGAAGAAGCACCGGCCAACUACGUG